GAAAAUUGAGUAUUCAGCAGCAGUGAUCUGAGGGGCCCUGGAGGAGAUGCAGCUCUGCUGCUCCAGGCAAGGAUGCAGCUGAAAAUUGCAUUUUAAGCCGGGAGGAGGAGGAGUUUGGCACGCAGCAGCUGUUCUGGCCCCUGUGUGCUUUGUGCAGCACUGAAUGUGCUGGGAGCCCAAAUCCAUCAGCAGUGAAGCAUCUCUUUUUUUACUCUUUGUAUUUGCUCAGAAAAACAUCACCCAAAUGCUGCUUCUCCAGCAGGGGAAGGAAUGGGUGCCUGCCACAGCUGCAGCCACUGCCAGAAUUUCAGAAUCUUUUUGCACUCAAGGUCCAGCUGGAUCUUUUCCUGACCCAGGUCUCCCGGUGCCAAUGGUGACCAGAAGUUUCUGCUGCUCCCGAGACAGGUGACCUGGAGCAGGGAGGGAACCCUGGAGGUCAGAACUGCAAUGGAAAGGAUUGGAAGAAGGGAGGUGUUUCUGCAAAGCCCAGGCUGGAAUGCAAUGAUCCAUGAAGCAGUGGGUGGGGAAAGACAGAAAAAGAUAUGCUGCUGCUAACAAACUCAGCAAACCUCCAGCAAACCCAGGGAACCACACUAAAACGAGUUAUUAAAACCUCUUAAGUGACUUUAACCUGCUCUAGCUGAUAAUUCAUUGCCACUUUGACUUGUCUGUGGCUGCAGUUUUGCUGCAUUUCAAAGCAGAGCUGGUCUCUGUGACUGCCUACAGUGUACAACUAGCACAGAACCCCAGCAGCCUGCAGGGGGACGUGAAUUCAUCAGAAGAUAAGAGGGGUGUCAGCUGUACCAUCUGCUGCCCCUGAUGAGGAGAGGAGCAGCUGAAUGCUGGGGACAUCAGUACUGGAAUGGAGGGGAGCAGGGGG
rnacentral:lncRNA from 1 species